UAUGGGGUUCAGGUCUGGUGAGUUUGCUGGCCAGUCAAGCACACCAACGCCAUGGUCAUUUAACCAACUUUUGGUGCUUUUGGCAGUUUGGGCAGGUGCCAAAUCCUGCUGGAAAACGAAAUCAGCAUCUUUAAAAAGCUGGUCAGCAGAAGGAAGCAUGAAGUGCUCUAAAAUUUUCUGGUAAAUGGGUGCAGUGACUUUGGUUUUCAAAAAAGUGGACCACAGUGGACCAACACCAGCAGAUGACAUUGCAUCCCAAAUCAUCACAGACUGUGGAAACUUAUCACUGGACUUCAAGCAACUUGGGCUAUGAGCUUCUCCACCCUUCCUCCAGACUCUAGGACCUUGGUUUCCAAAUGAAAUACAAAACUUGCUCUCAUCUGAAAAGAGGACUUUGGACCACUGGGCAACAGUCCAUUUCUUCUUCUCCUUAGCCCAGAGAGGCGAGGAAACAACAGGGCGACAAGGUGACCUACCAGCAGCAAGGAUCACAUCUGUGAUGUUCACCAGAGGCAUCAAGUGUACAUCCUUAUACAUUUGUAAAAAGAUUUUUAAAUCAUGCUUCUAAUUUAACAGUCUUUGUUUUUACAUUAAUUAAUUUUUGUCCAUGGACAGUAGUUUAGUGUGUGUGUUGACUGAUGUGUCUGCUAAUAUUGUAAAAAUUCUGAUUAUCACAUCAGUUUAAUGGCUGCCUCUAGAAUUAUCUGCCUGGUGUGUAACAUUGACUUAUACCGCUGUGAAAUGCCUCUAAGUUGCUUCUAAAUUUCUGUUGUCUGGCAAUGAACCGCAAAUGAGAGACUCCACCACGUCCUGAGGCUAGUAAACAUUAGAUGUGUUCCAAAACCUAUUGAGCUGCCCAUUUUAAGGCAAUCAAGUGCUUCUGAAAGCAAAAUGAUCGCUCCUUCUAAAAUACUGAAAUAUCACAAGAACCACAGUUAAUACAAUGCACUGCGUUCAGUGAAAAAUAAAAAAUGUCGAGCCGAAAUGUAUUUCAAACAUAUGGUCAGUGUUGCCAGAUUGGAUGGAUGAUAUCCAGCCAAAAUCUCUCAAAAACUUUAAUUAAUCAAAAAAUAAUGUAAUAGAGUAUUGCCAUGUCAAUCAAGGUUGAUAAGGACAAAAAUAAUGAUGACAAAAUAAUAUAAAUAUAGACACAUUUCCCAGGUAAACAGAUAAAAUCAGGGCAAAUACGUUAAAGAGAAUUACCAAAUAUGAUUGAAAUAUGCAAGCAGACACUAUCACAUUAACCUACACCCUCAAAAAAACACAUGCAUCGUUUUCAAUGUCAACAGUCAGAAUAAGCCAAUUUAAAUACAAAAAGUGUCCAAUGUGUGAUUGGCUAAAAGUGCGGCAGCCGACGUCAACAUCAGCAUUUAGUAACAUAGAGAUGACUGAUUGGAUGCAGUACAUGCACACUUGGGUAUGUUUGGGUGUGUUAGCCUAUACAAUUUAGAUGUGUGAAAACUGCCAAACUGACCCCAAACCAGCCCAAAUUUUGUCCACCCACACAAUCAAAUUCAAAACUGUUUAAUUGGGUGGGAACCCGCCCAAUCUGGCAACACUGCAUAUGGUUAAUAAAUCUAAGUAGCACUGCACUGUAAAAAAUGAUAUAAUCAUUAAAUUGAGUCAGCAUGUUUUUCCAUUACUUUAACUCAUCAAAUUAAUUUAAUCAAUUUCAGCUUCAUUUUUUUAAGUUGCACAAGAUAAAGUUUAAUAUAAUUUAAAAUGAAAUGAUUUGCACAGCCAAUUUUAUUACAGCAGCAACUGAACUUAAUUUUUUUAAGUUGAAAUAGCUGAUCAUCAAAGUUUGGUAAAUAUUGGUCACAGAUACAGAGAUUUAUGUUAAAUUUCACCAAACUGAUUACUCACUAAAAAUUCACACAGAUCAUGUUUUCAUGCCAUUUAACAAAGUGGUUACAUCUGUGUUUACUUACUUUUUAAAAUUUGUCUUCCCAUUAAAGCCAUUAUAUCGUUCAUUCAGACUGAUUCAGGAAUGGGCACGAACACAAGAGCUGGGAUUUAUCGCAUGAACCAAUCACAGCCAAAAAUCACCAAUCAUAUUCAGUCAUAUGGAGGCAUUGGCUCCUCUCAUGUGACUUUCCCCCAUUCAUUCUCAAUUACCCCCCCACCAAACUCACAGCAUGCUUUAGGGUGUUGUUAAAACUCAAUAGGCUCAGGUGAGGUGAGAGAGAUGUAGACUCCCGAUGUAACUUUACCUGCUGGUGUCACUAAAGAUGUUUCUUUAGAAAAACUAGUGAUUUAUACACUUAUACACUAAUGUUACAUUUUGUAAUAUUGGUGUAUUUGUAUUUUUCUACUAUAGUUUUUUAUUCAAUAUUUUGAGGAGACACUGCCUCCCUUGCCUCCUCAGAAGAAAUGCCCAUGAUAUAUAUAGUAUAAUAUAGUUUUAAUAUAGUUUUUAGUUUUUUUAUGUUUAGGUUUUAGGUUACUCCAAGAUCAGUUUAAAGUCUGCAGAUUCCAUAACAUUUAAAAUACUGUUAGAGGGCAGUUGCCUUGGUAGGCAGCAAUCAAGGCAGCUCGCUAGGUUUUGGAACAGAGCUCAUGUGAGUUUGCAGUUCAUCUUACUCCUAUAUCAAAGUUGUUUUUGAACAUCUUUUCGUCUACAUUACAUUUAAACAAGUUUGAUUGUGAAAUAAAGCCUCAAAUUGUGUUCAUUUUGUCUCAUUUUACACACUCACACCGCAAAAAGCACUGGUGUAACGGAAGCUGGCUCUGGAUCAGUGUACAAGGGCAAAUGUCCACUGAAAACCUAUCCAUGUUCUAGCCACAGGUCCCCACACAGCACUUGCACUGGAGUAACUUUUCCUUUGAAAAACAAACGCGGGGAAGAGAACGGAAAACAACGAGGUAUUUGCGGCCCAUGCCCCGAUGACUCUGAGCGAUAGAUGGUCAGCAUGUGCGGCCGCUACUCACCCCAGUUAAAAUGAUAUGGACCACUUGACGAGAAGUGUUUCCACUGUGUAUGUGAUUUGAACUAGCACUCUAUCCCACUUGCAGAUGUUGAACGUGUCUUUUGCCAAACAUUCGGUUGCAGAACUUAACUUUAAAACGGUGAAACGCACAAUCAUUGUGGAGCUCUACACUGGUGGUCCUCACAGAUAAGAUGUUUAAUCAUACUUUGUUCCAAUAUCAGAUCUUUUCAUGUGUUAGUCUGCAUUGGGAAGGAGAUGCAGUGGAGCAGGACUCAUUUGGGGUUAGACUUCAAAUGAGAUGAAUACAUUCUUUGUGAAAGCUUUCAGUGUGCUUGUGUUUAUUUAGCUUGAUUAGUUUAACUGAAGUGAAAUGUAGGUAAAUCUCUGAAUUGUUCUGGCCUGUUUACCUUCAAAGCCCAAAUUUCUCAUUACAUUACUCUUUUAUCCUGUUAAACAGUGGGAUUUAACACAUUUUAUGUUUGUCUGACACCUCUGUGCAGGUGUAAAUGUUCAUAAAGCUCAUGUCAGCUAUUUAUAAUCCAUCAGCUUCUCAGCCAGGCAGAUAUCAAGACACCUCAACUCAGCUGGAAAGGUCAGGAUUCCCAGACAUAACUUGGUUGGAACUCAAGCAAUCUGACUGAAGACAAACCGGUAAACAUCAGUUUCAGAGUUUCACCUGAUCUCCACUUGUUUUGUACAGUUUUAUCUCGUUGUAGACGCAAUUAAACUUUGGUAUUUGGUC